GCCCACAUAGCUCAGGAGGUCAGAGCGCAUCCUUGGUAAGGAUGAGGUCGCCGGUUCAACUCCGGCUGUGGGCUCUA
rnacentral:tRNA from 1 species